AAAGCGUGGGGAGCGAACAGGCUUAGAUACCCUGGUAGUCCACGCUGUAAACGGUGGGUACUAGGUGUGGGGUCCAUUCCACGGGUUCCGUGCCGUAGCUAACGCUUUAAGUACCCCGCCUGGGGAGUACGGCCGCAAGGCUAAAACUCAAAGGAAUUGACGGGGCCCCGCACAAGCGGCGGAGCAUGCGGAUUAAUUCGAUGCAACGCGUAGAACCUUACCUGGUUUGACAUGGAUCGGGAGUGCUCAGAGAUGGGUGUGCCUCUUUUGGGGUCGGUUCACAGGUGGUGCAUGGCUGUCGUCAGCUCGUGUCGUGAGAUGUUGGGUUAAGUCCCGCAACGAGCGCAACCCUUGUUCACUGUUGCCAGCACGUUAUGGUGGGGACUCAGUGGAGACCGCCGGGGUCAACUCGGAGGAAGGUGGGGAUGACGUCAAGUCAUCAUGCCCCUUAUGUCCAGGGCUUCACGCAUGCUACAAUGGCUGGUACAGAGAGUGGCGAGCCUGUGAGGGUGAGCGAAUCUCGGAAAGCCGGUCUCAGUUCGGAUUGGGGUCUGCGACUCGACCUCAUGAAGUCGGAGUCGCUAGUAAUCGCAGAUCAGCAACGCUGCGGUGAAUACGUUCCCGGGGCUUGUACACACCGCCCGUCAAGUCAUGAAAGUUGGUAACACCCGAAGCCGGUGGCCUAACCGUUGUGGGGGAGCCGUCGAAGGUGGGA
rnacentral:rRNA from 1 species